AUUGAACGCUGGUGGCAGGCCUAACACAUGCAAGUCGGACGGUAGCACAGAGGAGCUUGCUCCUCGGGUGACGAGUGGCGGACGGGUGAGUAAUGUCUGGGGAUCUGCCCGAUAGAGGGGGAUAACCACUGGAAACGGUGGCUAAUACCGCAUAACGUCGCAAGACCAAAGAGGGGGACCUUCGGGCCUCUCACUAUCGGAUGAACCCAGAUGGGAUUAGCUAGUAGGCGGGGUAACGGCCCACCUAGGCGACGAUCCCUAGCUGGUCUGAGGGGAUGACCAGCCACACUGGAACUGAGACACGGUCCAGACUCCUACGGGAGGCAGCAGUGGGGAAUAUUGCACAAUGGGCGCAAGCCUGAUGCAGCCAUGCCGCGUGUAUGAAGAAGGCCUUCGGGUUGUAAAGUACUUUCAGCGGGGAGGAAGGCGAUGUGGUUAAUAACCGCAUUGAUUGACGUUACCCGCAGAAGAAGCACCGGCUAACUCCGUGCCAGCAGCCGCCGCCG
rnacentral:rRNA from 1 species